UUACCGUAUGCCGGACCUGCUAAAAGCUACCUGAUGAGCGGAUGAGCAGGUGGGCAGUGGGUGGUGGAUGGUAUUUUAUCUGGGCCGGUCUUUUGCGAUCCUGGCCGAGUGAGUGGAUGUGGGAGUGGGUCUGAGUUGGCGCUAUGGGGUUAAGUGUGUGCGGGAUUAAUAGCCGGCACACGCUGUGGAGUGCCUCUGGAUUUUACUCUUGUACCUGUCACCUGGUCUCCACCCUGAUCCCUCAAGCGCCCCCAGCAUCCAACUCCACGGACACUUGGGCCUUUGUCAACGUGUUUCUUUGGGGGUCAUAAAUGUUUUGGCAACUUUAAUGGGGCAUCCGUUUAUCCAGCACGUGUAAUUGCCGUACAAUUUUUCUUAUGUGUGCGAUAUUUCUCGGCACUCAACCGGAUCUUUUUACCCCAUACACCCCACCCCGUCAAUGGCUCCUGGUUUCUUACUCGUAUUAUAAAUUAUGCUUAGCUAUUUGGGAAAAUUAAAACGCACACGGUACAUUUUUAAAUGCAUACACGUGCAUACACCCUGUUUUCGAGGCGUUUUGAGUUUCUCGCACCUUUGUGUUUUGCGCCAACGUCAAUUUUUCACAUAAAGUUUGUCAAACGCUUGACUUGCAUAUAAAUGAGUUGGCCGGAAACGGAAAAUGGAAAAUGGAAAGCGGGGCCACUGAGAAAGCCCCUCGAAAGUGGCGACCCAGCUUGAGAACCGAACUGGCGAUGGUAAAUGGUUGCGAACUUGCGAGUGAAAAAAAUAAUUUCCUUUGCGUAAUAUAUGCUGUAUGAGCUUCGCUUCGCUUUCCUUUCAAUUUCUUUUCGCUUCCGUGUUUUGUUUUUCCAGCGCAUAAAAAACGCUCACGGUGGGAGGUGUGAACAAUGUAUGCCGGCAAAAGUUGCCGUCCGGUUUGGUGGAAAUUUCUGUGCGGUUUUUGGUGGAAAUAAAAAACACAAAAGGGAGACAAAAUAAAAAUGAAGACAAUGGUUAUUAGUCUUUGGAAAUAGUCAC